UGUCGCUGCCUCCCCCGUGCCCGUCCGGCGCGGGCGUCGGGCUGGCUGAGAUGUCCCGAUUUCCCCCGCCCCCGCGGGGCUGGUCCUGCUCCAGGCGCCGCCGCGGUGGCGCGGGCAGAGCUGCGGUGCCGGUGCCGCUCUCCCUCCCGCGGCGCAGAGCGAACCUGUGAGCGGCCCUGACACCGGCCCGGUGCUGGAAAUCAUCACCCCAGAGCUCGCCCUGCCCAUGGCCGGGCUGGAACUGGGUCAGGAGCGGACGGCCCCCCUGAACUCUGUUGUUUAUGGAGGAAAGCAUUCAUCCAUGGUUUGAAGUGUCAGUGCUACCAUCAGCUCAAGCCUUGAACUCCCACAUUUGCAUUUACCAGGCCUUGUACAGCCAGCAGCUCAGCCUGACCCAGCCACCUGCUCACUUCUUCCACAGUAGGAUGGAGAAGAGAAUCAGAAGGGUAAAAGUGAAAAAACUCUUGGGUUGAGACAAAGACAGUUUAAUAAGGAAAGCAGAGGCCAAGCAAAACAAAAUAAGAAGAUAAUUCACUACUUCCCAUGGAGAGGCAGGUGUUCAGUCAUCUCUAGGGAAGUAGGGCUCCAUCACACAUAACAGUGACUUGGGAAGACAAAUGCCACCACUCUGAAUUUUUUAGUUCCCCCUGUUUUUUUAAGUUCCUCUCAGCUGUAUGUGCUGAGAAUGUAACCAUAUGGUGUGGAGAAUCCCUGUGGCCAGCUGGGGUCAGCUGUCCAGCUGUGACCCCUCACAACUCCUUGUCCACCCCCAGCCUCCUCCCUGGUGGGAUGAGGAGCAGAAAAAGCCCUGACUGUGCAAGCUCUGCUGAACAAUAAGGAAAAUAUCCCUGUGCUAUCAGCACUGUUUCCAGCACAAAUGCAAAACACAGCCCCACAUGAGCUACUAUGAAGAAAAUUAACUCUAUCCUGGCCAAAACCAGCCCACCUGCUAUUAUCUUCAUGUAGAGAAAUAAGGAACAUGGAAACACAAGUGCAAGAAGGAAUGACAAUGAGAACCAGGAGGUAAAAUUGUCAGUGCUUUCUCUGCAGUGACUCAGGAACUCAAAGAGAAGUAAGAACUUCUGUUAACAUCAGCAGAAGAACAAUGUUCUGAUUCCCUGUCUUUGUGGGUUCUAUUUCAUUGAAGAGGUGCAGCUGUCAUUGCUGACAUCUUCUCAGAGAGCUAGGAAUCCCCACAGCUUGAAGAAGAAGCUAGAAAUUAUCUGCUGCCUCAGGUAUCAACUUCAGCAGCAGAGAAAGGCAGGACCAAGUCUGCCAGAAGGGAACUACCGACAUGCAGAUGAGGCAGAACUGGCAACAUAUGUGGCAACAGAAGACACUGAACACUUCUACAUUCAUGGCACCAGGAUAUUUUGAUGUUUUCUAAUUACAUUCCUGUUGCUUUCUACUAUUUACUCUUUAGUCCUCUAGUGUGUAAAUAGAGAGAGGGACU